rnacentral:sRNA from 1 species
AUUCUGCCCAUGCGGGGAAGGAUGAGAAGCUUCGACUAAGGUUCGGCUCGAGCGUCAGCGAGAGAGCGUUGCCGCAGGCAACGACCCGAAGGGCGAAGCGCGCAGCGCUGAGUAAU